GACGAACGCUGGCGGCGUGCCUAAUACAUGCAAGUCGAGCGGACGGAAGGGAGCUUGCUCCCGGAAGUCAGCGGCGGACGGGUGAGUAACACGUGGGUAACCUGCCUAUAAGACUGGGAUAACUCCGGGAAACCGGGGCUAAUACCGGAUAAUAUCAAGAGCUGCAUGGCUUUUGGUUAAAAGGCGGCUUCGGCUGUCACUUAUAGAUGGACCCGCGGCGCAUUAGCUAGUUGGUGGGGUAACGGCCCACCAAGGCGACGAUGCGUAGCCGACCUGAGAGGGUGAUCGGCCACACUGGGACUGAGACACGGCCCAGACUCCUACGGGAGGCAGCAGUAGGGAAUCUUCCGCAAUGGACGAAAGUCUGACGGAGCAACGCCGCGUGAGUGAAGAAGGUUUUCGGAUCGUAAAACUCUGUUGUCAGGGAAGAACAAGUAUGGGAGUAACUGCCCGUACCCUGACGGUACCUGGCCAGAAAGCCACGGCUAACUACGUGCCAGCCGCCGCAGUAAAAC
rnacentral:rRNA from 1 species